rnacentral:tRNA from 1 species
GGGGCUGUAGCUCAGUGGUGAAGCAUUUACCUAGCAUGUAUGAGGCACUGGGUUCGAUUCUCAGCACCA